UGCAAGUUCGAGCGGACAGAUGGGAGCUUGCUCCCUGAUGUUAGCGGCGGACGGGUGAGUAACACGUGGGUAACCUGCCUGUAAGACUGGGAUAACUCCGGGAAACCGGGGCUAAUACCGGAUGCUUGUUUGAACCGCAUGGUUCAAACAUAAAAGGUGGCUUCGGCUACCACUUACAGAUGGACCCGCGGCGCAUUAGCUAGUUGGUGAGGUAACGGCUCACCAAGGCAACGAUGCGUAGCCGACCUGAGAGGGUGAUCGGCCACACUGGGACUGAGACACGGCCCAGACUCCUACGGGAGGCAGCAGUAGGGAAUCUUCCGCAAUGGACGAAAGUCUGACGGAGCAACGCCGCGUGAGUGAUGAAGGUUUUCGGAUCGUAAAGCUCUGUUGUUAGGGAAGAACAAGUACCGUUCGAAUAGGGCGGUACCUUGACGGUACCUAACCAGAAAGCCACGGCUAACUACGUGCCAGCAGCCGCGGUAAUACGUAGGUGGCAAGCGUUGUCCGGAAUUAUUGGGCGUAAAGGGCUCGCAGGCGGUUCCUUAAGUCUGAUGUGAAAGCCCCCGGCUCAACCGGGGAGGGUCAUUGGAAACUGGGGAACUUGAGUGCAGAAGAGGAGAGUGGAAUUCCACGUGUAGCGGUGAAAUGCGUAGAGAUGUGGAGGAACACCAGUGGCGAAGGCGACUCUCUGGUCUGUAACUGACGCUGAGGAGCGAAAGCGUGGGGAGCGAACAGGAUUAGAUACCCUGGUAGUCCACGCCGUAAACGAUGAGUGCUAAGUGUUAGGGGGUUUCCGCCCCUUAGUGCUGCAGCUAACGCAUUAAGCACUCCGCCUGGGGAGUACGGUCGCAA
rnacentral:rRNA from 1 species